rnacentral:rRNA from 1 species
UACAGAGGGUGCAAGCGUUGUUCGGAAUUAUUGGGCGUAAAGGGCGCGUAGGCGGUGCGGUAAGUCUGUAGUGAAAUCUCUGGGCUCAACUCAGAGUCUGCUGCAGAAACUGCCGUGCUUGAGUGUGGGAGAGGUGAGUGGAAUUCCCGGUGUAGCGGUGGAAUGCGCAGAUAUCAGGAGGAACACCGAUAGCGAAGGCAGCUCGCUGGGACGGUACUGACGCUGAGGUGCGAAAGCGUGGGGAGCGAACAGG